rnacentral:rRNA from 1 species
CCAAUUAAUUUAACUUGGGAGUCAGAACAUGGGUGAUAAGGUCCGUGUUCGAAAGGGAAACAGCCCAGACCACCAGCUAAGGUCCCAAAAUAUAUGUUAAGUGGAAAAGGAUGUGGCGUUGCCCAGACAACUAGGAUGUUGGCUUAGAAGCAGCCAUCAUUUAAAGAGUGCGUAAUAGCUCACUAGUCGAGUGACACUGCGCCGAAAAUGUACCGGGGCUAAACAUAUUACCGAAGCUGUGGAUUGUCCUUUGGACAAUGGUAGGAGAGCGUUCUAAGGGCGUUGAAGCAUGAUCGUAAGGACAUGUGGAGCGCUUAGAAGUGAGAAUGCCGGUGUGAGUAGCGAAAGACGGGUGAGAAUCCCGUCCACCGAUUGACUAAGGUUUCCAGAGGAAGGCUCGUCCGCUCUGGGUUAGUCGGGUCCUAAGCUGAGGCCGACAGGCGUAGGCGAUGGAUAACAGGUUGAUAUUCCUGUACCACCUAUAAUCGUUUUAAUCGAUGGGGGGACGCAGUAGGAUAGGCGAAGCGUGCGAUUGGAUUGCACGUCUAAGCAGUAAGGCUGAGUAUUAGGCAAAUCCGGUACUCGUUAAGGCUGAGCUGUGAUGGGGAGAAGACAUUGUGUCUUCGAGUCGUUGAUUUCACACUGCCGAGAAAAGCCUCUAGAUAGAAAAUAGGUGCCCGUACCGCAAACCGACACAGGUAGUCAAGAUGAGAAUUCUAAGGUGAGCGAGCGAACUCUCGUUAAGGAACUCGGCAAAAUGACCCCGUAACUUCGGGAGAAGGGGUGCUCUUUAGGGUUAACGCCCAGAAGAGCCGCAGUGAAUAGGCCCAAGCGACUGUUUAUCAAAAACACAGGUCUCUGCUAAACCGUAAGGUGAUGUAUAGGGGCUGACGCCUGCCCGGUGCUGGAAGGUUAAGAGGAGUGGUUAGCUUCUGCGAAGCUACGAAUCGAAGCCCCAGUAAACGGCGGCCGUAACUAUAACGGUCCUAAGGUAGCGAAAUUCCUUGUCGGGUAAGUUCCGACCCGCACGAAAGGCGUAACGAUUUGGGCACUGUCUCAACGAGAGACUCGGUGAAAUCAUAGUACCUGUGAAGAUGCAGGUUACCCGCGACAGGACGGAAAGACCCCGUGGAGCUUUACUGUAGCCUGAUAUUGAAAUUCGGCACAGCUUGUACAGGAUAGGUAGGAGCCUUUGAAACGUGAGCGCUAGCUUACGUGGAGGCGCUGGUGGG